UAUUUCUGUUUUUUAUUUUUAAUACAUUCGCAAACAUUUCUAAACCUGUUUUCCAUUUUUCAUUAUGGUGCUUUGUGUGUAGAUUGAGAAUGUUUUUAUUUAAUCUGAGUCUGAAUACUUUCUGUGUGUGUGUGUGUGUGUGUAGAUUAUUUAUAAAGCCAGUCACAUUUAGCAGGUAGUCAAUUGAUUAUAGACCUAAUUAAGUUGGGGUUUCCUCUCCUAAUUUUCCUUAGACAAUUAAGGCAAUGGCUGUUUUCACGUCUCCUCACUUUCCUUAGACAAUAAGGUGAGGGCUGUUUCCUCUCUCAUCACUUUCCGUAGACAGUAAGGUGAGGGCUGUUUUCUCUCUCCUCACAUUCCUUAGACAAUAAGGUGAGGGCUGUUUCCUCUCUCCUCACUUUCCUUAGACAAUAAGGUGAGGGCUGUUUCCUCUCUCCUCACUUUCCUUAGACAAUAAGGUGAGGGCUGUUUCCUCUCUACUCACUUUUCUUAGACAAUAAGGUGAGGGCUGUUUCCUCUCUACUCACUUUUCUUAGACAAUAAGGUGAGGGCUGUUUCCUCUCUACUCACUUUUCUUAGACAAUAAGGUGAGAGCUGUUUCCUCUCUCCUCACUUUCCUUAGACAAUAAGGUGAGGGCUGUUUCCUCUCUCAUCACUUUCUGUAGACAAGGUGAGGGCUGUUUCCUCUCUCCUCACAUUUCUUAGACAAUUAAGGCAAUGGCUGUUUUCACGUCUCCUAACUCUGCCGCAUUGUUCGCCACACCAAUAUGCUGGUUAACUUUGCUCUUAUUCAUAUAGCAACAUGGUCUAGGAAAAGGUGCCAAUUCAACAGCGCAAUGUUCCAGAACCCUGGACAGUGACCGCUGUCUGGCGCGGGAGAAAGUGAAUUUGUUAUCAAACAAUGUUAUUUUUAUUGGUGUUGCGCCAUUGUUCUUACAAAAUAUAACAAUAUACAAUUUCAGUAGCACAUGUCUUAGAGUGAUGGACUGUGCCAUCCCCACAGCCUCCACAAUGGAGUAGUUCACUUACACACUUUUUUCUUUUGCUCGACCGAAGAAAUCUCGGUCUACCAACAGCCUAUCAAUCAACCAGUCGAAUAAGUGGGGGCAGCUCUAAUCCACAUAUAGAUGACAUUUACAAUUUAACAGAUUGACCAAUAGCAUUUAUGUAAAUAUUGAGAAGAACAGGUUCUAGUAUUGUCCCCUGUGGAACACCUUUAUGUAUUUCAAGAAUUUCGGACUUGACCCCAUCAAUCACCAUGGCCUUAGUUCCGUCACUAAGAUGUUCAUGAAAGCAUGAACAGGUGUCAGAGCUCAGGCCUAUCGAGGACAACUUAUUCAAUAACAUAGCAUGAUCAACCGUAUCAAAAGCUUUUGACAGGUCCACAAACAAAGCAGCACAUUUAAUUUUAGAGUCUAAAGCAUUGACAACCAAAGUGGCUGCUCUAAUAGUGCUAUGACCAGGCCUAAACCCUGAUUUGGUUUACAUUCUAAAUACAUUUCUCAGAUUAAAAAAAGGGCAAAGUUGUACAUUUACCAAUGAUUCAAGAAUCUUAGCUAGACAAAGAAGCGUUGAAAUUGGGCACUAAUUAUUUUUGAUCACUACUAUCCCCACCCUUAUGGAGUUGGCAGCACGAGAUGAUUUCCAUACUUUUGGAAUUUGUCCUGACAACAAUGUUAAACAAAAAAUGUGGGUUAUUGAGCCAACAAUGAUGGGCGCAGCACAAUUAAAUGAUUUGAUACUGAGAGGGCUACAUUGGACCUUUUUAACUAAAGGUGAUUGCUUUACCGUAACAUUCUAGAGGUGGGGGACUUGGUCAAAUUCCUUUCAACCUCAAAAGGACUGGACUGCUGUCUUCCAGCACCGAGGCGGGCCCUUUCCCCUGAGCAUGGAGUUUUCCCAAACUUCCUCUAUUUCGAAUCAAGUAUCAGGAUUUCAUGGUUUUUGACCCUACUCAUGGUUCGUUAGAUUGUUCAGCUACUUUGUGUAAAGUGUAAAACGGACACAUUUUUCUCGCUCUUGGAUUAACAUGUAUGAGUUUCUCUUCCUUUGAUCCACUGAUUGAAUCGUGAUAAGUAUUUAUGAAGUGAAGUUGGGUAGGCUUCGAAGGCUGAAAGAGAAUUAGCAUUAGAAAAAGUAAUUGUCCAUUAGGUUUGCACAAAAUGGAAAAUUUGCUUUGGCGCUCUUGGCAUUGAACGGAUAAAAAAAAUCUACAUAAAAACUUAAGGAUAAAAACACAUAAAAAUGCACAUUCCACACUGAGCUUUUCCAUGUCUGUUCACCAUAGAGGAUCGUCACUGCAGGGGGGAUGAAGGAUUGUUUUGUAAACUUUUUUUUUUUUUUUUGCAUGUGGCACCUUUAAUCUCCGACCGGGCGGCAGCAUGUUGAAGGGUGCGUGCUGUGGGUGGGUGUUUUCGUUGUGGACCUAGAGUUUUCCUUUUAUAGUGUUCUAUAUCUGGAAUAAGUCGAGGAGUAUGUAUACCUUCUGAAGGAAUUGUCGGUCACAAAGGCAUAUCAGUAGCAGGUGAGGUUGCACUGUGUUAAAGGCUGAGAAACUUCAUUAAUAAGAUCCUGACAUUAUCUUCUCACCUUAGGUGACUUCACUCCUACGUGAUGCUCGUCCCUCAACAGGUCUGUCUUGUAGGACAUGGAACUUUAAACAUUUAGAUUUUACUCAUCCGCCCAACACUAGUUCCUGAUUCUUAAAAUCACUCCGCUCUCAGUAGCUAAUAUGCGCUGGCUACUGCGGCAGACCAUGUUUGAUCAGCUGAGCAAGAGGGGAGGAGACAAAGCCAAAAUCUGUCCAAAAUAAGCAAUUCUAUGGUCUUAUUUUUUGAACCCUUAUUUUACCAUGUAAGUUGACUGAGAAUACAUUCACAUUUACAGCAAUGACCUAUGUAAUAGUUACAGGGGAGAGGAGGGGGGAUGAAUGACCCAAUUGUAAGCUGGGGAUGAUUAGGUGACCGUUUAUGGUAUGAGGGCCAGAUUGGGAAUUUAGCCAAGACACAGGAGUUAACACCCCUACUCUUACAAUAAGUGCCAUGGGAUCUUUAAUGACCACAGAGUCAGGACCCCCGUUUAACGUCCCAUCCGAAAGACUGCACCCUACACAGGGAAAGGUUCAGGCUCCUACUUGCUGUGUUAAAAAAAGUCAAGUGACACUGACUAGCACCUGUUGUCUCCCUCUCCUCCCUGCUGCAGCGACCACCACAGAACUUCAACAGUGUUUAUCAUGCUGUCCGUGUUGUUGAAGCUGCAACAUAACUACAGCCAUUUCUGACUGAAAAGUCCUGUUACCGAAAUCCCACAUUUGUUUCGGAAAAACAUUCCCUAUUCCCUCAACGCCUGUUCUCUUUACUUGUAUGCAUCGCAUCCAUGUGACCAAUAGGGCCCGGCCUAUAGCAUCUCAUAAUCAAAUCAAUAAAUUGGUUAUAACAAACUCUGAAAAUAAAAGAGAGCCGCACACUCUAGGAGCUCAGAUGCAAAAAUGUAAUUACCAACGUUUCGACAGCCAAGCUAUCUUCAUCAGGGUAUAUAACAAACUCUGAACACGUGACCGCAACAUGGAUGCAGAGGACAUGACCAAUAAAGUUGAAACGGUAAUGUUUACUGGUUGCGCAGGGAGGUUAAAGGGAAGUCUGAUGUGUGGAGUAAAUGUGACUAAGUUGUGUAAAAUACUAGAGUGCUGUUGGACCAUUUUGGUACCAUGUAAACAACACUAAAUAUAUUAGAAGUGUACUAGAGAGUAAAGUUUUUUGGGGUUUUGUAAAGCCUUUAUUACAGCAAAGAUUAAACCAUCACAUUCAUUUGUGAAUGCAAUUUCCCAAAAGGAAAUGGUUCAUUAUUUACGGUAAUUAUUUUGCAUUUCAAAUCAUGAAUGACUCGUAUGCUCUGUGAUGACUUUAACGAUGAUGAUGAUAACAUAAGGAGAUCAAGAAGAAAGAAGCAUUGUUAUUAUGAAUAUUGUUUUUCUGAAAAUUUGGAACAGAGUAAACUACAUUAAAUAAUACCAGCAGCUGUUUUAAUGAAAAAAGUCUGAAGCCUUUAUAGCAGCAUAGCAAAGACUAAAAACAGACCAUUUUGUAAAAUGGUUUAAUCUGACAUGUUGUGUGAUGCUUAGUGCUCACGGAAUCAGUAGGCUAUUAAACAAACACUCAAAAAGAAGCAGGAUCUGUCGAUGAAUAUGGAUGAUUUAUAAAGCCAAGCACAUUUAACAGUUAGGCUAUUGAUUAUAGACCUAAUUAAGUUGGUCUCCUCUCUACUCACUUUUUAUAUACUAUUAUAGAGAAUUUAUAGACUAUUAUAGAGAAUUAAGGCAAGAGCUGUAUUCUUGCCUCCGCCACGUUGUUCUCAACACCAACAUGCUGGUUAACUUUGCUACUGUGCACAUAGUGGUUGCUCAAUGAAAAGUGUUGUGAUUAUACUGCUGGAGGUCAUUUGUGGUUUAGUACAGUACCCUGCAUCACUGCUUCAUUUCUCCAGACCAGUGCAAGGGGGAGUUAGAGCACUGAUUUAUGAUUUUGGGUCCCAAGGCUCUACUGUGGCUCUAACUGACAAUGAAUGGGCGUUCUAAACCAAGUAGAAACUGAUAAUUGUGCACUACUUCAAAAUUGAAUUUCAAUUAACUGAAUGAUGAGGAUGAAGAAGGUGAUUGAAUUUAAAACAAUAGUGUAAGAAUUGCUAUUCUUAUGUUCUGCACGCGCACACCUGGAAAAAUACACACUUUUGUUGUUUCUACUUGUCAGUAUUAUUUAGUAAAACUGUUGUUAUCCUGUUUUUAUUCUAAGAGAAAUGAAAAUUCCAUGAUAUUCUUAAGAUAUGUGUUGACUGAAUAUAAUCAAGUUGAUGCCGCAGUCAUAUAGCCUCGGCACCUACAUCAAGCUGAGUGACUCAGUCAUAUAGCCUCGGCACCUACAUCAAGUUGAUGCCGCAGUC
ensembl:lncRNA